CGGGACACGUGGUAUCCUGUCUGAAUAUGGGGGGACCAUCCUCCAAGGCUAAAUACUCCUGACUGACCGAUAGUGAACCAGUACCGUGAGGGAAAGGCGAAAAGAACCCCGGCGAGGGGAGUGAAAAAGAACCUGAAACCGUGUACGUACAAGCAGUGGGAGCACAGAGCAAUCUGUGUGACUGCGUACCUUUUGUAUAAUGGGUCAGCGACUUAUAUUCUGUAGCAAGGUUAACCGAAUAGGGGAGCCGAAGGGAAACCGAGUCUUAACUGGGCGUUAAGUUGCAGGGUAUAGACCCGAAACCCGGUGAUCUAGCCAUGGGCAGGUUGAAGGUUGGGUAACACUAACUGGAGGACCGAACCGACUAAUGUUGAAAAAUUAGCGGAUGACUUGUGGCUGGGGGUGAAAGGCCAAUCAAACCGGGAGAUAGCUGGUUCUCCCCGAAAGCUAUUUAGGUAGCGCCUCGUGAAUUCAUCUCCGGGGGUAGAGCACUGUUUCGGCAAGGGGGUCAUCCCGACUUACCAACCCGAUGCAAACUGCGAAUACCGGAGAAUGUUAUCACGGGAGACACACGGCGGGUGCUAACGUCCGUCGUGAAGAGGGAAACAACCCAGACCGCCAGCUAAGGUCCCAAAGUCAUGGUUAAGUGGGAAACGAUGUGGGAAGGCCCAGACAGCCAGGAUGUUGGCUUAGAAGCAGCCAUCAUUUAAAGAAAGCGUAAUAGCUCACUGGUCGAGUCGGCCUGCGCGGAAGAUGUAACGGGGCUAAACCAUGCACCGAAGCUGCGGCAGCGACACUAUGUGUUGUUGGGUAGGGGAGCGUUCUGUAAGCCUGUGAAGGUGUGCUGUGAGGCAUGCUGGAGGUAUCAGAAGUGCGAAUGCUGACAUAAGUAACGAUAAAGCGGGUGAAAAGCCCGCUCGCCGGAAGACCAAGGGUUCCUGUCCAACGUUAAUCGGGGCAGGGUGAGUCGACCCCUAAGGCGAGGCCGAAAGGCGUAGUCGAUGGGAAACAGGUUAAUAUUCCUGUACUUGGUGUUACUGCGAAGGGGGGACGGAGAAGGCUAUGUUGGCCGGGCGACGGUUGUCCCGGUUUAAGCGUGUAGGCUGGUUUUCCAGGCAAAUCCGGAAAAUCAAGGCUGAGGCGUGAUGACGAGGCACUACGGUGCUGAAGCAACAAAUGCCCUGCUUCCAGGAAAAGCCUCUAAGCAUCAGGUAACAUCAAAUCGUACCCCAAACCGACACAGGUGGUCAGGUAGAGAAUACCAAGGCGCUUGAGAGAACUCGGGUGAAGGAACUAGGCAAAAUGGUGCCGUAACUUCGGGAGAAGGCACGCUGAUAUGUAGGUGAAGCGACUUGCUCGUGGAGCUGAAAUCAGUCGAAGAUACCAGCUGGCUGCAACUGUUUAUUAAAAACACAGCACUGUGCAAACACGAAAGUGGACGUAUACGGUGUGACGCCUGCCCGGUGCCGGAAGGUUAAUUGAUGGGGUUAGCGCAAGCGAAGCUCUUGAUCGAAGCCCCGGUAAACGGCGGCCGUAACUAUAACGGUCCUAAGGUAGCGAAAUUCCUUGUCGGGUAAGUUCCGACCUGCACGAAUGGCGUAAUGAUGGCCAGGCUGUCUCCACCCGAGACUCAGUGAAAUUGAACUCGCUGUGAAGAUGCAGUGUACCCGCGGCAAGACGGAAAGACCCCGUGAACCUUUACUAUAGCUUGACACUGAACAUUGAGCCUUGAUGUGUAGGAUAGGUGGGAGGCUUGGAAGUGUGGACGCCAGUCUGCAUGGAGCCGACCUUGAAAUACCACCCUUUAAUGUUUGAUGUUCUAACGUUGACCCGUAAUCCGGGUUGCGGACAGUGUCUGGUGGGUAGUUUGACUGGGGCGGUCUCCUCCUAAAGAGUAACGGAGGAGCACGAAGGUUGGCUAAUCCUGGUCGGACAUCAGGAGGUUAGUGCAAUGGCAUAAGCCAGCUUGACUGCGAGCGUGACGGCGCGAGCAGGUGCGAAAGCAGGUCAUAGUGAUCCGGUGGUUCUGAAUGGAAGGGCCAUCGCUCAACGGAUAAAAGGUACUCCGGGGAUAACAGGCUGAUACCGCCCAAGAGUUCAUAUCGACGGCGGUGUUUGGCACCUCGAUGUCGGCUCAUCACAUCCUGGGGCUGAAGUAGGUCCCAAGGGUAUGGCUGUUCGCCAUUUAAAGUGGUACGCGAGCUGGGUUUAGAACGUCGUGAGACAGUUCGGUCCCUAUCUGCCGUGGGCGCUGGAGAACUGAGGGGGGCUGCUCCUAGUACGAGAGGACCGGAGUGGACGCAUCACUGGUGUUCGGGUUGUCAUGCCAAUGGCACUGCCCGGUAGCUAAAUGCGGAAGAGAUAAGUGCUGAAAGCAUCUAAGCACGAAACUUGCCCCGAGAUGAGUUCUCCCUGACUCCUUGAGAGUCCUGAAGGAACGUUGAAGACGACGACGUUGAUAGGCCGGGUGUGUAAGCGCAGCGAUGCGUUGAGCUAACCGGUACUAAUGAACCGUGAGG
rnacentral:rRNA from 1 species